AGAGCUCCCAGCAGCAGUGGCCCCCACUGGCUUGAAAUUGUUUUUUGGGGGGAUUAAUUCCUCAUGGACCAGCACUCAACUCCUCACGGACGGGCAUCGGUCCAUGGACCGGUGGUUGAGAAACACUGCUCUAGAAUCUCCACAUGAAGAAAGCUCUGAAGCGGCCUUUGACCUAGCCUCUGAUGAGGAGGGCAAUACCCAGUCCUGGGGCUCCUCCCCGUUGGACCUGCUUUCUGAUCCCAAACUGGGAUCUCUGUCAGAGGAUUACAGAUUUUAUGCAGAAUAUACUUCCCACAUGGCAACAUCACUAGGCAUACCCUUCGCUCGACAAAGCAAGGCUGAGCCAGACCCUCUAUUUGGUCUCAUUGAGGCAGACAUGCGGGCCCCUGUCUCCCUCCCUAUGAAUUCCACACUCAUGGACAUUGCUAAAACCUGCUGGUCCCAACCACCUCAUUGCCUCAAUCCACCAUACACCUGGAGACCUUCUACAGAGUCUACACAGACAAUGACCAGGCAGGAACCUUCUUCAAACAUCACCCCACACCUAACUCGGUGGUGGAAUCCUCUGUUUCAAAGAAUAGGCCACGCCCAGACUCUACACCUCCAGACAAGGAGGGCAGGAAAUUAGAUUCGUUCGGCAGACGCCUUUAUUCCAUCUCAGCUUUACACUUCAAACUGUCCAAUUACCAGGCUUACAAUGCUCGUUAUACUCACUUCUUAUGGCAACGUCUAGCGCCUUUCUUAGACUAUCUUCCAUCAGAUAAGAAGGACCCUGCUAAAACCUUCCUUAAAGAAGCAACCCAACUUGCAAAACAGGAACUCUAUUCUGCCAGACACUUGGCUGAGUGUGCCUCCAAGGUCAUGGCCACUUCCAUAGCUAUCUGCCGCCAUGCCUGGCUCCGCUUGUCUGGGCUCACAUAUGACACUCAUGACUGCAAUGAAGAUCUUCCAUUCGAUGGAAAUGCGCUCUUCGGCGAUAAGACUGAUGAGACCUUGCAGAAGGUCAAAUGCCUCCUUAUAAAGCUCGUUCCAUGAGCUUUCAAAACCAUUCACCUAGACAGCAAAGGCCAACCAGAUGGCAGUGUGCCCAACCACAAUGGCCUGCCUCACAAUUCCAACAGGGUGACUGCUCCUUUCCUUCACUGCGAUAUCAACCCUACGGGAAAUGUCCGGCGUAUACCACACAGCGUGCACCUCCCAACAAACCUAGACUAUCUUCCACUUUCACCAAGAAACAGUGACUCUUCCUUCCAGCGCAGUUGGGAGACCCACCUCUCUUCUUGCCUCACAGCAUGGGAGAAAAUUACAUCAGAUUUGUGUAUCCUCACAAUAAUAAGAAUUGGAUAUGUGCUGGAAUUUUCAUCUAGACCCCCCCAUCCAACCACCCAGUCACUACCAGAGCCACCCCCAUCCUCCAGGCGGAGGUCGCUACAUUACUCGACAAACAGGCAUUAGAACCAGUCCUCAACCCCUCCUCUCAGGGUUUCCACCCCCUAUAUUUCACAGUCCCCAGACGUGAUGGAGGCCUCCGCCCCAUUCUGGACCUCAGGCAGCUGAACCAUGGCAUCACUUACAAGCAUUUCUGUAUGAUCACCAUCACUACCAUCCUAACACUCCUGCAAAAGGGCAUGUGGUUCAUCUCGCUAGACCUCAAAGACACAUACUAUCACAUCACCAUUCACCCUCAACACCGGUGCUACCUAUAUUUCAAAAUAGGCAACAUCACCUACCAAUUCCAGGCCCUCCCCUUUGGCCUAGCAUCAGCCCCGAGGUUGUUUAUCAAAUGUAUGGCUCCGUUGGUGGCUUUCCUACAGAAACAAGGCAUCCACGUCUUCCCGUUUCUGGAUGACUGGCUCCUGGUGGCAGAUACCCUGAGCAUGGAAUCCAUGUCCUUAUUUCCUUGGUGUCCUGGGUGGCAAAUCGCUGCCACAGGGCCUGGGUAAUCCAGCAGCUUCUUGGCUAGAUGGCAACAACAGACGUACUUCCUCAUGCCUGACUUUGCACCAGAAUUCUACAGAACUGGUUCCUUUAUCAUUUCCGCCCACACUCAGCCCCUCAAUCUCACUGGCUAAGUGUACCCUUUGCAAUUCACCAGUUGCUCCUCUGGUGGACAGUUGUACACAAUCUCUCCAGUGCCCCCUUUCACCCGCCGCAGCCACAACAUGUCCUUACCAUGGAUGCAUCCAACACAGGAUGAGGGGCCCGUGUCCAAGAUCUGUCCAUUCAGGGCCUUUGGGACAAGGAAGAACGCAAGCAUCACAUCAACUUCCUCAAACUACUGACCAUCUUCAAAGCACUCAGAGGCUUCCUAUUCCUUCUCUGGCAUUCUGUAGUCACAAUCCAGGCUGACAAUACUACGGCCAAAGCCUAUCUCAACAGGCAAGGGGGCACCAUUUUAACCAGCCUGCUAAACCUCUCUCUCAACCUAAAGUUAUGAUGCAUCAAAUACUCCAUCACCCAUUGCGGUUCACAUGCAAGGAACAUCCAGUGUUCAAACUGACUCCUGCAGCAGAGUAGGGGUGGACUCACACAAAUGGCAACUAAAUAGGGACCUAGUCCUCUCCCUAAUUGACCUUUGGUUCUGCCCAUAGGUAGACCUCUUCACAUCGCACCUGAACAACCAAUGCCUCCUCUAAUGCUCCAAGGCAGGCAGGAGGUUCCACUCUCUGGGUGAUGCCUUCGUGACUUCAUGGACAGGAUGGACAGCCUACUUGUUUCCUCCAAUUUCCCUGCUACCCAGAGUACUUUGAAAGAUCCAGCAGAACCAGGUGGAGUGCAUUCUCAUAGCCCCAUGGUAGCCGAGGAGACCCUGGUUCCCCCUCCGCCUGUGCCUCGUGACAAGUGAUCACCGCUCCCUGCCAAUAUAUCCUCACCUUCUCUCCCAACACUCCAGACAGCUCUUGCACCCGGACCCCCACAGAUUGCAUUUCACUGUGUGGUGGAUACAGCCCUCUUCCCGCAGCCUUUACAGCGAGUCUUGUCCACAUCCAAGAAACCUGCAACAAUAAAGUCUUAUCAUCAUAAGUGGACACAUUUCCUGGCCUUCCAUCACUCUCACAACAGUGCUCCUGAACAGUUCUCCAUGGGGCAUGUUUGCACUUACCUCCUUUCAUUGAAGGAAUCCGGUCUCAAGCUUUCUUCCCUAAGAGUUCAUCUAGCGGCCAUUGUGGCACAUUCGCUGACUCGACCUAUGUCCUUCUUCAAGGACUCUAUCAUCAAGAAUUUUCUAAAAGGUCUGGCCCACCUGUACCCAAACCACCUCUCUGGAUCUCCUCUCUUGCAAGGUGGCAUUCCUUGUAGCCACUACCACAUCUGUCAGAAGAGUGAGCGAGUUGAGGGUCCUGAGAGUGGAUGCAUCUUACUGGUCUUCCACAAGAACAAGGUGGUGCUUCACCCUGACAUCACCUUCCUUCUCAAAGUUGUCUCCUCCUUUCACUGGUCCCAACCACUUACCUUACUGGUGUUCCUUCCUAACCCUACAGAUGAGGCACAGUGCUGCCUACAUAUCCUAGAUGUCUGUAGAGCGCUUGCCUUCUAUGUGCAUAGGACCUCCAUGGAGUGCUCCUCUCUGUCACUCUUUGUUGCACAUACUGGACCAAACAAGGGCAAAGUGGCAUCAUCCCAGACCAUUUCCAGAUGAAUAGUCAAGACUAUAAUGUUAUCUUGCCAACUAGCUAAGAAAGAGAUACCUUCCUCUAUCAGAGCACAUUCAAUGAGGCCCUUUUACCCCUGGACUUCCAGGCCGAAGUCCAGGGCCUCCACAGCCCCUGCCCCACCCUCCAAAUCCUCUUUAGUCUGUCCCGGGUGGUGUGGUUGCCCAGCCAAGCAUGAUGAUGCUUAAUUUUCAGAGGUGGGGGGACUCCAAAGGCCUUUAGGUACAGGCUCCAAAAUUACCUGGGUGCACCUCUCAUUCUACCAGAGCGGUGGCAGCCUCGGUAACCUUUGACAGAGCUAUCCCAUUGGAUAUCAUAUGCCAAGCUGCUGCUUGGGUAUCCUCACACUCCUUUAUUCAACAUUAUGCCCUUGAUCUCCACUCUAAAAGAGAUGCAGCCUUUGGAAUGUCUGUCCUACAGUCGCUCUUCGCCUGACUCCCACCUCCAGGUAAGAUGAUCACUGGGUGCAGCUUGCUAUGCGUCCAAUCACGUAAAGCACAGAGACCACAUCGAAGAACAGCAGGUUGCGUACCUGUAUCUUGGGUUCUUCUAGUGGUCACCCAAACUCCCUUCUCUAGUUCUCUAGGUCAACAGACUCAGAGACUGAAGGAGGGAGGACAUGUGACUACAGGAAGGGUAGGAGCUGCCGUCUAUCGGAGAGAGAAACUAGCUUGGACAAUUCCAACGAGAUAUCUGUGCACAAGCAAAGCCCAAUCAUGUAAGAGCACAGAUGACCACUAGAAGAACCCUUGUGUUACAGGUAAGCAACUUGCUGUUCCCUACCAUGCUCCGCAGGUCUUCAUCUGUCCAGCAAUGCCCCCCAAAACCAUCAGUCUGGCCAAUUUUCCAUGAAAAAUUGUGUGGGGAAAUCCUUUUUCUUCCCCCAACAGAAGAGCCACAAAAUGGCUCCUUUAAACAAAAUGGUGGCUGAAAAUGACCUUAGAGAUAACUUCUGGCCACCAAGGAGCAGUGGAUACAUGGGUAUUAACCCUUGCUGAGAUUGGGUGCCUAUUUUAGGACGUGGAUACGCGAAACUGCAAAUAGCGGUACGUGUAUAGUGAGGUCUACCUAUAUAGAAUGAAGAGCAGCUGGCAAUGGUUUAGCUAGAGAGCUCGUCUUGUGGUAGCAAGUAUGAAUUGUCCUCUUUGCUAAGCAGGGUCCACCUGGUUGCAUUUGAAUGGGAGACUACAUGUGAGCACUGUAAGAUAUUCCCCUUAGGAGAUGGAGCCACUCUGGGAAGAGCAUGUCCCAAGUUCCCUCCCUGGCAUCUCCAAGAUAGGGCUGAGAGAGACUCCUGCCUGCAACCUUGGAGAAGCCGCUGCCAGUCCGUGUAGACAAUACUGAGCUAGAUGGACCAAUGGUCUGACUCGGUUUAUGGUAGCUACUUAUGUUCCUAUGUUCCUACUUGCCUGCCCUCCUUGGUUGCAGCCUCUACAAAAGGGAACAGGAAAAGGUUGCUGGGCUUGUAUGGUGGUCAACAUGCUUUCAUUAAGCUGACUGUUCUUCACAGUGCUUAUGAUCUGGCUAGGAUUUAAAGGAAGCAGAAAAAAUGGGAUGCACGCCGAAUCAGGAGGAAAAAUGAAAAAGAAACCGUGCAAAGUGUGGAGACAAAGGGGCCAUGAAAAAAAUGCCAAUAAUUGCAGAAACACAAAUUGUGCUGCAUUUAAAGAUCCAUAUGGAGGAAAUGAACAAGACACAUGUAUCCAUUUAACAAUCCUUAAGAUGCUAUAUUAAUAGUCUAGAGAGUAAAUAGAUAACAAUACCAUUUUUAUUAUAUUAUCACUUUUGGCUUACUAUUACUACUAUUCUGGAGAGAUGGGAGUAAGGAGCACACAGCCAAGCAGAAGAACAUCCAACUGCCAGCCAUGGAGAGAUCGCAGUGGGAUGAAAGGGGAUGUUAACAACCACAAUGACCUAAUGAGAACUGGAUUUUUUGUGGAGAGGAUAUGCUACCCCAGAGCAAUACUAUUGCACAGGGUAAAAGGAGCCCUAAUGUAUUACUAAGAUUUUAUAUAAUGGGAACUGGAGCUUUGCCAAAGCAGCAGCAACAACAGUAACAACAAAGGCAGGAGAAGACUAUAUGCUGCUAACAUCCCAAGUACUCAAUGCAACCCAUUCUGAAAGAGUUGCACUGGCUGCCGGUUUGUUUCCAGGUCCAAUUCAAGGUGCUGCUUUUGACCUUUAAAGCCCUUAAUGGUUUGGGCCCGGGGUAUUUGAGGGACCGCCUGCUCCCAAGGGUUGCUGCCCGCUUGACGAGGACAUCUGAGGGGGCUCUGCUCCGGGUGCCAACAAUGAGAGAGGCCCGGCUGUCGUGCACUCGGGACAGGGCCUUCUCUGUUGCUGCUCCCAGACUUUGGAAUGCUCUCCCAGUGGCCAUUCGCUCCUCGGACUCCAUCACGGCUUUUAGAAAGCUUGUUAAAACUUGGCUUUUUACCCAGGCUUUCACAUAAUCGUUUUUACUGCUGCUUCUGUGUGUUUUUAUCUGUUGUAUUGUUUUUAUGCCUGUAUUUGAUAUGUUUUUAUAUUUUUUAGCUUGAUGUUUUUAUUGCCUUUUUAUUGUAUGUUUUAACUUUUGUAAACCACCUUGGGGUUGUCUUUUAACGAAAGGCGGUAUAUAAAUGCAAUAAUAAAUAAAAUAAAUAAAAUAAAACAGAGUUUCAGUAAGUGU